UUGUGUUGUCAACAACCACCUUUCAGGCCCGACAAAAUCCUGUGAAGGAAGUGAGUACCGAGGGGGGCGAAGAAAACAUCUCCAAUUAUAUGCCGUCGAUGACAUCCUGACCCUUCUUCCCCACGUGACGGUGGUGGGAAACAAUUUCAAAAAGAAGAGGGAAGCGUUCGACCCAUCCAGUGUAGUACACCCCGGGUGAAACAACUUACCUGUGUGUGACGCCAGCGGAGGCCGUGUUCGGCCCAACGCAACAGUAGUUUUCGAUCCGCCUCUCUAUCAGCAGUUGGUAGAAGCCUCAGAAAAGGAACGUCUGACGUCUAUUCCCUCGAAGGUCUGUGAGUUACAUCACUUCCUGUUUCCCUGUAUAUUCACCGUAAGCGUAUGCCCAAAGCUAAAGCCAGCAUAUUGUGUUGUACACUCGCCUGUCUGCCCAGAUGAAGUCCCAGUUAUAUUGGAUGUACUUACCUUAUGCCCAAAGCUAAAGCCAGCAUAUUGUGUUGUACACUCGCCUGUAUGCUCAAGUGAAGCCCCAGUUGUCUUUCCUACGGACUUACUUGUGCCCCCGAGUGAAGAGCCAGCGGCCCCUCUGUCCACUGUCCGUGUCCAGUCCUGUUACACUUACCUGUAUGCUCUUGUGCAGAUCUAGCGGGUCCCUUUGAAGCAUCUACCUGCAUGUCGACCCGUCACUCAGGAUACAGAAACUGCGGAAACCCCCUCCCGUACACUUACCAGUACGGUUUUAGUUGGAUCCCGGCAGCCCUUGUGCAGUUCCACCAGCAUCUGGACGACCGGGAGUACAACCCGCUGGGCCGCCUCGGAGUUCGCCACGAGUAGCAGCAGGUAUCCAUUGUGCAUCCAAACUCUCAAUACUUACCACUUGUAUCUGUUACGUCCAGGAAAGGAGAGGACUCUGGACAGUCGUCCUGCAAGCCAGAAUAAA
ensembl:lncRNA